AUGAAUGUUAAGAAUGAUGUAAAAAACAGAUCUGUUUAUAUUAAAGGCUUCCCAACUAAUGCAACCCUUGAUGACAUAAAAGAAUGGUUAGAAGAUAAAGGUCAAGUACUAAAUAUUCAGAUGAGAAGAACAUUACACAAAGCAUUUAAGGGAUCAAUAUUUGCUGUGUUUGAUAGUAUUGAAUCUGCUAAGAAAUUUGUUGCCACCCCUGGCCAGAAGUAUAAAGAUACAGACCUGCUAAUACUUUUCAAGGAAGAUUACUUUGCCAAAAAAAAAAAAAAAAAAAAUGAAGAAAGAAAGCAAAAUAAAGUGGAAGCUAAAUUAUGAGCUAAACAAGAGCAAGAAGAAAAACAAAAAUUAGCAGAAAAUGCUGAAAUGAAAUCUCUGGAAGAAAAGAUUGGCUGCUUGCUGAAAUUUUCAGGAGACUUAGAUGAUCAGACCUGUAGGGAAGAUUUGCACAUCCUUUUCUCAAGUCGUGGUGAAAUAAAAUGGAUAGACUUUUCAGAGGAGCAAAAGAGGGAUAAUUCUUUUUAAAGAAAAAGCUAAGGAAGCACUGGAUAAAGCCAAAGAUGCAAAUAGUGGUAACCUACAAUUAAGGAACAAAGAAGCGACCUGGGAAGUACUAGAAGGAGAUGUGGAAAAGGAAGCACUGAAAAAAAUCACAGAAGAUCAACAAGAAUCUCUAAACAAAUGGAAAUCAAAAGGUGGCAGAUUUAAAGGAAAAGGAAAAGGAAAUAAAGCUGCCCAGACUGGGUCUGCUAAAGGAAAAGUACAGUUUCAGGGCAAGAAAACUAAAUUUGAUAGUGAUGAGGAACAUGAUCAAAAUGGUGCAUCUGGACCAGUAAAAAGAGCAAGAGAAGAACAAGACAAAGAAGAAGAACCUACACGAAAACAACAGAAAACAGAAAAUGGUGCUGGAGACCAGUAGUUUAGUGAAAAAAUUUUUUUAUUUAUCUGAAUUAGGUUUUAAGCUGCUUUUGUCUUUAGAGGCUUUUAAAAAGAAAACCG